GGAAAAGAAAACAAAGUAAGAAAGAAAAAAACAAAACCGUAUUGUGAUUUAUAGCGUUAAUUAUUUUAUGGAAAGAGGAAAGCUCUCGUUGGAUAAA